CUCUCUCUUUCUCUCUUUCUCUCUUUCUCUCUUUCUCAUUCUUCUUCUCCCCACUUCUUUCGAUCCUCUCCAAUGGACCUUCUUUCGUAAGAAGGAUCACCUGUAGUGUUUCGAAAUCUUUGCGAGACUGAACUGUUUAUGAGAUCGAUGCUUCAUGCGGAGGCGUUUCACGUGACGUGUGCUCGAUAUCAGAAUGGUGUUUUGAUCUUGAUUCAUAAUCGUACAAGUAUCUUUUAUAUACGUUAACAUUUAUCAUUUGGAGAUUAUUUGAACGGAGCGGAUAUUUUGAGAAAGGGUCGACACCAAAACGACCACGUGGACGUAGUGUAUUUUUGAAAUAGUAUUUGAUAUAAGUAAACAGGAAGUGACCACUGUUAUUUGUGGCUUAUAGUGAAAAAGUGGAAAGAUCAUCAGCAUUUGGCUGUUGAUCAAGAAUACAUCUGGAAAACAAGGCCGCGAUCUGAUGUCUGGUAUAUCACACUGCCUAUAUAUGCACGCAUGCGAUGUAGAAGUGGCGCAGAAGUGAUGCAUGGAUGCGAGUCAGUGUCUCCAGUAUUCUUAAAGAGUGCUAUUUAUACUCCUGACUGCACAAGCUAAAAGAACGGCUAAAGGAGCGGGUUCCUCAAUAAGGCAGCAGGUAAGCGUAUCUAAGCAGAGUGCAUGUUACUUGCACGCUUUAUAAUCGCUUGCCAUUGACAUGUAUGGCGUGACUGAUCGAAUUCAUCAAGACUAUCUGAAUAUGCUCAACGAUUCAGGGAAAAACUACUUUGCAACUAUGUGUAUUAAAACUAUAACAAAUAGAAUGUCAAGGAAGAUUCGUUGAGGUCGGUUAUGUUUAACAUUUAAUCUUAUGAUUCAAAUGGAAAUUCAAAAAUAUUCUUGAAGAACAUAACAAUUUUUUUUCCUUUUUUUUCUUUUUUUUUCUUCUU